AGCGAACGCUGGCGGCAGGCUUAACACAUGCAAGUCGAGCGGGCCAUUCGGGUUAAUCGCCGACGGGUGUGUUAAGUUUGGGAAUGGGUCUUGUGGGGGUGAAUAACCCUGGGGAAACUAGGCUUAUACCGGGUAAGGCCCUUUGGGGAAAGGUUUUACUACCGGAAGAUCGCCCCGCGUCUGAUUAGCUAGUUGGUGGGGUAACGGCCUACCAAGGCGACGAUCAGUAGCGGUUCUGAGAGGAUGAUCAGCCACACUGGGACUGAGACACGGCCCAGACUCCUACGGGAGGCAGCAGUGGGGAAUAUUGGACAAUGGGCGCAAGCCUGAUCCAGCCAUGCCGCGUGAGUGAUGAAGGCCUUAGGGUUGUAAAGCUCUUUUAUCCGGGACGAUAAUGACGGUACCGGAGGAAUAAGCCCCGGCUAACUUCGUG
rnacentral:rRNA from 1 species